rnacentral:rRNA from 1 species
GUCUACAGCUAUGCUACCCUGAACGUGCCCGAUCUCAUCUGAUCUCAGAAGCUAAGCAAGAUUGGGCCUGGUUAGUACUUGGAUGGGACACCACCUAGGAAGACCAAGUGCUGUAGGCA